GCAGACUCACUCUGUGCCCAACUGCAUCCUCCAGUUAAGGUGCUUUUUCUGUCUGCUAAAGAAAAUCCACAAUUAUCCUUUUAGAGCGCUUCUUCUGUUCAGAGGAGGUUUGUCUAGUUAAUUAUGGAACAUAAAU